rnacentral:piRNA from 1 species
UCUUCAUCACAAGAAGAAGGAGUUCAGACU